UACGGAGGGGGCUAGCGUUGUUCGGAAUUACUGGGCGUAAAGCGCACGUAGGCGGCUUUGUAAGUUAGAGGUGAAAGCCCGGGGCUCAACUCCGGAAUUGCCUUUAAGACUGCAUCGCUAGAAUUGUGGAGAGGUAAGUGGAAUUCCGAGUGUAGAGGUGAAAUUCGUAGAUAUUCGGAAGAACACCAGUGGCGAAGGCGACUUACUGGACACAUAUUGACGCUGAGGUGCGAAAAGCGUGGGGGAGCAAACAGGG
rnacentral:rRNA from 1 species